AACGAACGCUGGCGGCAUGCCUAACACAUGCAAGUCGAACGAGACCUUCGGGUCUAGUGGCGCACGGGUGCGUAACGCGUGGGAACAUGCCCUUAGGUUCGGAAUAACUCCCCGAAAGGGGUGCUAAUACCGGAUAAUGUCUUCGGACCAAAGAUUUAUCGCGUUUGGAUGGGCCCGCGUUGGAUUAGCUAGUUGGUAGGGUAAAAGCCUACCAAGGCGACGAUCCAUAGCUGGGCUGAGAGGAUGAUCAGCCACACUGGGACUGAGACACGGCCCAGACUCUUACGGGAGGCAGCAGUGGGGAAUAUUGGAAAAUGGGCGAAAGCCUGAUCCAGCAAUGCCGCGUGAGUGAUGAAGGCCUUAGGGUUGUAAAGCUCUUUUACCCGGGAUGAUAAUGACAGUACCGGGAGAAUAAGCUCCGGCUAACUCCGUG
rnacentral:rRNA from 1 species